AGGUAAAAAAUCGGCGUGGUUAGCAGAACGAGUUGGAAAGCUUAGCCAGAGACUGUGAUAGCCAGGUAUGCGAAAACGACGCUGACCUUAUUCUGUAUUCUCGAGUAGGUCGGGGCACGAGAAACCCUGAUUGAAUCCGGCUGGACCACCAGCCAAGGCUAAAUAUAGUAUAUGAUCGAUAGUGAACUAGUACGGUGACGGAAAGGUGAAAAGAACCCCGGGAGGGGAGUGAAAUAGAACCUGAAAUUUUGUGCCUACAAGGAGUCGGAGCCCAGCACCUUUGAAAUCGAGUGGUACAAUGUAGGCGGAUGUUCUACGUGUACGUUUUGCAAAGUGAUCGGGAAUCAGAUCAAAUUUACUUCGGUCAGACUAGUGACUUAAGACGACGUCUCUCGGAGCAUAAUUCUGGCAAGGAUACUUAUACCAAGAUAUAUGCGCCAUGGAAGGUUGUCUAUUAUGAAGCCUAUUCAUCACGUAAGCUAGCAAUGGCCCGUGAGAGGCAGCUGAAAGCUUAUGGACAAGCCAGGACUGCUCUGAAGAAGAGACUAAAUUUGAUCUGAUACUCGAUUUCAAAGGUGCUGGGUGACGGCGUGCUUUUUGUAGAACGAUCCAGCGAGUUAAUUUUUACGGCGAGGUUAAGUUAGAUGAUGAAGCCACAGUGAAAGCGAGCAUUAACAGUGCGAUUUAGUCGUAAGGAUUAGACCCGAAACCAGGUGACCUAACCAUGAGCAGGUUGAAGCAACCUUAAUCGGUUGUGGAGGACCGAACCAGUGUAUGUUACAAAAUGCUUGGAUGACUUGUGGUUAGCGGUGAAAUGCCAAUCGAACUUGGAGAUAGCUGGUUCUCCGCGAAAUAGUUAUAGGACUAGCGUCGUGUGAUAGCUUACGGGGGUAGAGCUCUGUCAAGAGAUAGGGGGAGCAAUCCUACCUACUCUUAAUAAACUACGAAUACCGUAUGUCUGUAUCACGGCAGUUAGAACGUCGGUGCUAAGAUCGGCGCUCAAAAGGGAAACAGCCCAGACCAUCAUCUAAGGUCCCCAAAUUUACGCUAAGUGGGAAACAAGGUGGAAUUUCUUAAACAGCUAGGAUGUUGGCUUAGAAGCAGCCAUUCAUUUAAAGAGUGCGUAACAGCUCACUAGUCAAGAGAUUCUGCGUGGAAGAUAUAACGGGGCUAAGCGUAAUACCGAAGAUAUGGAUUGCAAUUUAUUGCAGUGGUAGCGGAGCGUUCCUAUCGGCAGUGAAGCCGGACUGUUAAGUACCGGUGGAGCGUUAGGAAGUGAGAAUGCUGGAACGAGUAACCAUAAGACAGGUGAGAAUCCUGUCGGCCGAAAGAGCGAGGUUUCCUGGGCUAUGGUAAUCAUCCCAGGGUUAGUCGGGCCUAAGCCGAGGCGUUUAGCGUAGGCGAUGGACAUCAGGUUAAUAUUCCUGAACUAGUCAAACUUUGUAUGCAGUUAGCGAUGAGAUAGGUGGAGCGGAUUCAUGGUUUAUCCGUUCAAGUGAUAGAGGAAUCUUGAUCGAGUAAAAGUGAACCUACGGGUUUACGAUUCCGCUGAAGGCAUUGACCAGAAAAGCUGGCAUACGCAUGGGUUUGGCUACCCGUACCGCAAACCGACACAGGUGCUCGAGUCGAGGAGACUAAGGCUUACGAGAGAAUGAUUGCUAAGGAACUCGGCAAUACAGCGACCGUAACUUCGGAAUAAGGUCUGCCUACAUUUGUAGGCCGCAGCUAAAGAGCCCACGGAACUGUUUAUCAAAAACUCAGGUCUCUGCUAACACGAAAGUGGAUGUAUAGGGGCUGAAACCUGCCCGGUGCCGGAAGGUUAAGGGGAUUGCUUCACGGUGAAAACUGAAGCCCCGGUGAACGGCGGCGGUAACUAUAACCGUCCUAAGGUAGCGAAAUUCCUUGUCAGGUAAGUUCUGACCCGCACGAAUGGUUAAAUCAUGUGGGCACUGUCUCAGCAAUUAUCUCGGUGAAAAUGCAUUGGCGGUAAAGAUGCCGUCUGUCCGCACCAGGACGAAAAGACCCCGUGGAGCUUCACUACAGCUUUACAUUGUUGUGGGUUCUAACUUGUGUAGUAUAGGUGGGAGACUUUGAAGCAGAUACGCUAGUAUCUGUGGAGUCAUCAGUGAAAUACCACCCCCGUUAGGAUCUGCAUCUAACCUGUGCCGUUAUCCGGUAUAGGGACCGUGUAUGGUUGGUAGUUUAACUGGGGCGGUUGCCUCCUAAAGAGUAGCGGAGGCGUUCAAAGGUU
rnacentral:rRNA from 1 species